rnacentral:rRNA from 1 species
GAUGAACGCUGACAGAAUGCUUAACACAUGCAAGUCAACUUGAAUUUGGGUUUUUAACUUAGAUUUGGGUGGCGGACGGGUGAGUAACGCGUAAAGAACUUGCCUCACAGCUAGGGACAACAUUUAGAAAUGAAUGCUAAUACCUGAUAUUAUGAUUUUAAGGCAUCUUAGAAUUAUGAAAACUAUGAACUCUGUGAGAGCUUAUGCGCCCCAUUAGCCAGUUGAAAAAAGAAAGAGGUCCAAAAG